rnacentral:sRNA from 1 species
GCUGGACAUGGUGGUGCAUGCCUGUAAUCCCAGCAACUUGGGAGGCUGAGGAUGGAAGAUUACAUGUUUGAGCCCAGUCUGGACAACUUAGCAAGACUGUCUCAAAAUAAAAAUUUUAAAGGUCUU